GUUUAAACAGGAAAAACACUUUGCACAAUGUGACCCACUGAUCCAAGCCCGGGUAGUUCUCAUUGCCCGGGGAGAACAAGCAGAGCAUUGUUUCAGCGAUGAAAAGAAAAACAUCCUCUGAUUUUCCAAGUUUGUUCUGAACCAAAUUUUUGGUUGAAAUAGAAAGAUGUAUUUUUUUUCCUUUUCUUGCCACCCUUCUUUAUUUUUUAACCCAUUUUUUAAUGAAGCUAUCUAAGUGGAUGUUGAAACAGUGAAUGUUAAGAAAGAGUACAUUUCCUAUGUAAACAAACACAACCCGGCUUAGAGAGAGAGGAAAGCAGUCUUGUCAACCCGAAAGGAACCCAGCACAUGGUCUUUUACAUGCAUCGUUGGAUUGCAGUCUCAAGCCUGGGAUUCCAACGGAAUUAACGUCCAUUGAAAACUUACUGUGCUCAAGGCACAGAACGGGGUAGUUUUAUACACAUUCUCCCAUUUGGAUUUUUCAAAGACAACAUCUAAUCAUCCCCAGAGAAAUUUCAGCUGAGAAGACAGGAUGAUGAAGUGCCCUGGGGGCCAGAGUCCAGACAAGUAUUUUGGCACCUCCAAGGACUCGCAGAACACAGAGAGGAAAAGAGAGACCCUGUUAUCUUUCCGCAGGGGUGGCCGUUCAAACUCUCAGAGAUGGAAGUUAAGAUUUCCUUUGGUAUAAGUGGCAGUUUGACUGGCUGCAAGGAGAGCCUCAGUUUGUUUAAUUUGGAGUAAAAUUUUAUGAGUUAAUCUCUAGUGAGGGAAAGCAGCAGUAAACACAGAACAUAC
rnacentral:lncRNA from 1 species